AAUCAACGCUGGCGGCGUGCCUAACACAUGCAAGUCGAACGCGGUUACCUCGCAAGGGGUAACUGAGUGGCGAACGGGUGAGUAACGCGUGGGUGACCUACCUUCGAAUGGGGGAUAACGUCCCGAAAGGGACGCUAAUACCGCAUAACAUCCUGCCCUUGAAAGGGUGGAGAUCAAAGCUGGGGAUCGCAAGACCUGGCGUUUGAAGAGGGGCCCGCGUCUGAUUAGCUAGUUGGUGGGGUAAUGGCUC
rnacentral:rRNA from 1 species